GACGAACGCUGGCGGCGUGCUUAACACAUGCAAGUCGAACGGAAAGGCCCUGCUUUUGUGGGGUGCUCGAGUGGCGAAGGGGUGAGUAACACGUGAGUAACCCGCCCUUGACUGUGGGAUAACUUCAGGAAACUAGGGCUAAUACCGGAUAGGAGCUCCUGCAGCAGGGUGGGGGUUGGAAAGGUUCGGUGGUUGGGGACGGUCUCGCGGCUUAUCAGCUAGUUGGUGGGGUAGUGGCAUACCAAGGGUUUGACGGGUAGCCGGCCUGGGAGCUGGACCACCCACCAUACGACUACGGUACGCACCAGUCUCCAACGGGAGGCAAUGGUCGGAAGUAUGACACAGUGGGCCGGCGCGUGGGACGACGGCGCCCCGUGCGUAAACACCUCCUUCGGGUUAUGAACAGCUUUCGCCUGAGACGUGGCGUGCGUGACGGUACUGGAUAAAGAAGCACCGGCUAACUACGUG
rnacentral:rRNA from 1 species